AUACUUACCUGGCGUAGAGGUUAUUCGUGAUCAUCAAGGCGAAUCCUCCGGAAUGAGUCUCUUUCAUUGCACUAUCGAAAGAGAUGAACUCUGCGAUUACGGCUUACGUUCGUAACUCGUGCGUAAUAUUUUUGGUAGCCGGGAUUAGCGUUCGCGCUAUCCCGA